UAUUGGAACACCUUAUAAAAGAGGCUGAAAAGUUCUGAAAUAAAACCCUUCUGAUGAUUCUCUUUCUGCCUGUUGAAUUGAAUCCACACUCCUUAUUUGUGUCCAGCAGCAGCAGACUCGCUCCUGAGGGAUGCCUUGAGCAGAACUCUCUCUCCCUUUCCAGGAGAUAUUUUCCCACUGGAGAUUUUUUCCUCCUGCCUUGCCAUGAGGACACAGCCCCGGGAGUGCCUUCCCCAGCCCCUCCAUCCCUGGCUGCUCACGCUCCUGCAGGUGCUGGAGGGAGGGUGGAUUAUCUGCAGAUAACUCACUAUCACUGCCUAAACUGAGGCUCCAAAGCACCGAGCUGCCACAUCAAAGAUCAUCCCACUCCCUUCACUUUCAGUCCAUUUAUGAAGAGUGCACUCUGGGCACUUUUUCAAGGCAAACCAAAGGUACUGAGCUUCGGCAGGUGGCACAGAAAUGUGUGAGCUCCCAGUGCACAGAGCCGGGCUCCUGGGGCUCAGAUUCCACAGCAAUGAGUUCAUUUUCAUUCCUGCUCACUCUCAACUCUUUCAAAUGCCUCUUCCACCACAAUUUGAGUUCAUGCAGAAGCCAUCUCACAGUCUGUGCUCUAAUCCUGGGUUCUGGAUUCUGUGCUUCUACCAUCAGUGCCAAAAAGUGUCGCAACAACUUAAAUUCAAGGAAUCUGGCAAUUCAAUUUCUCAUCCUAAAUCCACCAAGAUAUUUAAAGAACUGCACUCUAGUGUUACAGAGCACUCUGGAUUCAGGAGCAUUUGUGCAGAGACUAUUCAUUAAUUCUGGCUUGGAAGAACGGGGAAAAAGCAAAGUCAUGCCAGGAUGUGGUUGAUUUGAUAAAUAAUGGAAGGAGAUUUCACAAGACAGAGCUCUGUUAUUCCUUCAGCAUAAAGUGCAACAGAGGAGGAAAGCCAAUAAACUAAAGCUGAAAGAUUGGUUCCUCA
rnacentral:lncRNA from 1 species